UCCCCACAUAUACAUACUUAACAUAGUAACCCAGCAAGCACAUGGGUAUCAAUGCAGGGAGGUGAGAGAGGUAAGAUCGGAGGGAAGCUCUCUGGAGAACCCUACACUGCCGGGCACAAAAACCAACCUCCGGUAAAUAGAGUCAUCG